AGUUUGAUCCUGGCUCAGAGCGAACGCUGGCGGCAGGCCUAACACAUGCAAGUCGAACGGACCUUUCGGGGUUAGUGGCGGACGGGUGAGUAACACGUGGGAACGUGCCUUUAGGUUCGGAAUAAGCUCGGGAAACUGGGUCUAAUACCGAAUGUGCCCUUCGGGGGAAAGAUUUAUCGCCUUUAGAGCGGCCCGCGUCUGAUUAGCUAGUUGGUGGUGUAAUGGACCCCCAAGGCGACGAUCAGUAGCUGGUCUGAGAGGAUGACCAGCCACAUUGGGACUGAGACACGGCCCAAACUCCUACGGGAGGCAGCAGUGGGGAAUCUUGCGCAAUGGGCGAAAGCCUGACGCAGCCAUGCCGCGUGUAUGAUGAAGGUCUUAGGAUUGUAAAAUACUUUCACCGGUGAAGAUAAUGACUGUAGCCGGAGAAGAAGCCCCGGCUAACUUCGUGCCAGCAGCCGCGGUAAUACGAAGGGGGCUAGCGUUGCUCGGAAUUACUGGGCGUAAAGGGAGCGUAGGCGGACAUUUAAGUCAGGGGUGAAAUCCCAGAGCUCAACUCUGGAACUGCCUUUGAUACUGGGUGUCUUGA
rnacentral:rRNA from 1 species